rnacentral:rRNA from 1 species
UACGGGGGGGGUAAGCGUUGUUCGGAAUUACUGGGCGUAAAGGGCUCGUAGGCGGCCAACUAAGUCAUACGUGAAAUCCCUCAGCUUAACUGGGGAACUGCGUGUGAUACUGGAUGGCUUGGAUUUGGGAGAGGGAUGCGGAAUUCCAGGUGUAGCGGAUGAAAUGCGUAGAUAUCUGGAGGAACACCGGUGGCGAAGGCGGCAUCCUGGACCAAUAUUGACGCUGAGGAGCGAAAGCCAGGGGAGCAAACGGG